AAUCAUGAAGCGAGUAUAAGUUUGGGUAAAGAAAUUGGUCGAUAAACAUUGUUCUGUAAUGCCCGUGCCCGAUAACCGAUCUCGUAGCAACCGUGAGGAAACAAGGAGACGUCAUAAGUUUGACAUCGAACACCAUGUAAACCUGCGAUUCUGAGGCGGAGAAAUUGGAUUCCCGAGCGACGUAGCAGCGAUCCCGUUCUGGGGACUUGGAAGUAGAUUGGGAUCGGAUUUUUAGCCAGUAAAUGGCCGACUCGAAGAUCUAUCAUUGCGAGGAGGUCUCCAACCACAACGUCAUUAAAAAUCGCUGCUUAAGGAUCAGCUGCAUCCCAAAAAGGGAGAGUACAAUGAGAUCUGCCAAAACUUGCAAAUCUAUGAGCAACAAAAUGACUCCCCAAGUUUAACUGGUUUCAUAUAGGUGAAAGCUGUAACAAAAUGGAGCUACCUGGCUGGCUUCUGAAGCUGCAGAAAUUACAGAGUGAUGAUCAAGACUCCUUGUACUUUAUGAUUGUUUAUGAUGUUAAUCCAAUUUAUGGACAAGCAUCCCGGUGGCAAUGAGGUUUUGCUGGCGGCAACCGGAAAAGAUGCCACCGAUGAUUUAGAAGACAUAGGUCAUAGUACUUUGGCGGGGGAUAUGAUGAUCAAGCACUACAUCGGUGAGGUAGAUUCUUCAACUGUUGCAGCAAAACGCAACUCCGUAUCACCGCAGCAAGAAGCCUACAAUGCAGAUAAAGGUUCAGACUUUGUGAUCAAAAUAUUGCAGUUCCUUGUGCCCAUAUUGAUAUUGGGCUUGAUCUUCACUGUCCAACAAACACCUCACCAAAGUAGAUUUAGGAUUUUUUUUGACAAUGUGAAACAUUGUCUUCUGCAAACUUUUCAAAAUUGUUGAUUUGAAAAAAUUGGAAGCAGUUAAAGUUUAUGAGGAUGCUAA